rnacentral:lncRNA from 1 species
GGUCCCUGCUGUUGCGAGCUCUGUAGGUGGAUUGCCUAGCUACGACCGUGCAUUCCUGAGGAGAGUUCCUGUGAGGAAGAAGAGGAAAACACAGAAACCAGGGCCGCUCUACCCAGCCUGAGGUCCCAGGAAUCCCAGAUCCAGGCCCAGAGACGUCUUAACCAGGAUCAGGAGCAUGGACCACAGUGCAGAAGGAGCUGCAGCCAGUGCCGAGGUGCCCCAGGAGCUGCUGGAGGAAAUGCUUUGGUAUUUCCGUUCAGAGGAUGCAACUCCUUGGAACUAUUCCAUCCUGGUUCUGGCAGUCCUGGUGAUGGUGAUAGGCGUGGUCCUCCUGAGAAGGAGCAUCCUGGCAAACAGAAAUCGAAAGAAGCAGCCACAAGACAACGGAAUGCCAGAAGACCUGCAUCUAGAUGAUUCCAUGAAAGAAAACAGCAGCCUGGGCAUCCUAAGAGAGACGCUGAUCUCAGAGAAGGCAGACUUGGCCCCAGGGGAAACCGAGUUGAACAAGAGAGAGACAUCAGUCGUCUUUCUACCAGACCCCCAGGAAACUGAGAGCUAGGGAGUGUGGAGAGACCACACUGCCCCAGCCAGUCACACGACUGUGAUCUGAGCCCAGCUCUGAGGCCUCCAACCCCUUAGGUUAGACAAAGCCCCACCAAGCCACCUAACUUAUUUUUAGCAGACCCAAUAAACACACUACAAUCAGACGAA